rnacentral:rRNA from 2 species
UGGGGAAUUUUGCGCAAUGGGGGGAACCCUGACGCAGCAACGCCGCGUGCGGGACGAAGGCCUUCGGGUUGUAAACCGCUUUCAGCAGGGAAGAAGUUGACGGUACCUGCAGAAGAAGCCCCGGCUAACUACGUGCCAGCAGCCGCGGUAAUACGUAGGGGGCGAGCGUUAUCCGGAUUCAUUGGGCGUAAAGCGCGCGUAGGCGGCCCGUCAAGCGGAACCUCUAACCCGAGGGCUCAACCCCCGGUCGGGUUCCGAACUGGCAGGCUCGAGUUUGGUAGAGGAAGAUGGAAUUCCCGGUGUAGCGGUGGAAUGCGCAGAUAUCGGGAAGAACACCGAUGGCGAAGGCAGUCUUCUGGGCCAUCAACUGACGCUGAGGCGCGAAAGCUGGGGGAGCGAACAGG